CUGACACCUCAGCUUUUUCAGUU
rnacentral:snRNA from 1 species